AUUGAACGCUGGCGGAAUGCUUUACACAUGCAAGUCGAACGGCAGCACGGGUGCUUGCACCUGGUGGCGAGUGGCGAACGGGUGAGUAAUGCACCGGAACGUAUCCAAUAAUGGGGGAUAACGCACCGAAAGGUGUGCUAAUACCGCAUACGCCCUGAGGGGGAAAGCGGGGGAUCGUAAGACCUCGCGUUAAUGGAGCGGCCGAUGCCGGAUUAGCUAGUUGGUGAGGUAAAGGCUCACCAAGGCGACGAUCCGUAGCUGGUCUGAGAGGACGACCAGCCACACUGGAACUGAGACACGGUCCAGACUCCUACGGGAGGCAGCAGUGGGGAAUUUUGGACAAUGGGCGCAAGCCUGAUCCAGCCAUUCCGCGUGAGUGAAGAAGGCCUCGGUUGUAAGA
rnacentral:rRNA from 1 species